AGAGAGAGAGAGAGAGAGAGAGAGAGAGAGAGAGAGAGAGAGAGAGAGAGAGAGAGAGAGAGAGAGAGAGUAAGGAUGGUGAAUAAAGUGAGAUUCUCUGAUCUUGAUCCUUCUAAUAUUGUUGUGGGGGACAAAAUGAAGGAAGAGGGAAAGAAACAAGG